AUUGAACGCUGGCGGCAUGCUUUACACAUGCAAGUCGAACGGCAGCGGGGACUUCGGUCCGCCGGCGAGUGGCGAACGGGUGAGUAAUGCAUCGGAACGUGCCUAUCAGUGGGGGAUAACGCUUCGAAAGGAGUGCUAAUACCGCAUAUUCUCUGAGGAGGAAAGCAGGGGACCUUAGGGCCUUGCGCUGAUAGAGCGGCCGAUGUCGGAUUAGCUAGUUGGUGAGGUAAAGGCUCACCAAGGCGACGAUCCGUAGCGGGUCUGAGAGGAUGAUCCGCCACACUGGGACUGAGACACGGCCCAGACUCCUACGGGAGGCAGCAGUGGGGAAUUUUGGACAAUGGGCGCAAGCCUGAUCCAGCCAUGCCGCGUGAGUGAAGAAGGCCUUCGGGUUGUAAAGCUCUUUCAGGUGGAAAGAAAACGCAUGGGUCAAUACCCUGUGUGGAUGACGGUACCAUCAGAAGAAGCACCGGCUAACUACGUG
rnacentral:rRNA from 1 species